UACGAAGGGGGCUAGCGUUGCUCGGAAUUACUGGGCGUAAAGGGAGCGUAGGCGGGUCGUCAAGUUGGGGGUGAAAGCCCAGGGCUCAACCUUGGAACUGCCUUCAAAACUGACGAUCUAGAGUAUGGAAGAGGUAAGUGGAACUCCGAGUGUAGAGGUGAAAUUCGUAGAUAUUCGGAAGAACACCAGUGGCGAAGGCGACUUACUGGUCCAUGACUGACGCUGAGGCCCGAAAGCGUGGGGAGCAAACAGG
rnacentral:rRNA from 1 species